AAGGAUUUUUGUGCAGUUGUGUGUUUUGUGCUGGUAGAAGAUGCUGCAGACUUAGGUUUUAUUUGCAGGCUGGUCGUCACACAGGAAACUGUAUGCAGAGUCCAUCAGCCCAUGCUCUUCAUCACGAACUCAGUUGCUCUUUAAGACCAUCUCCCAGAGAUGAGGAAGAUGCGUUGAUCCAAACGAGACGCAGCCAAGCUUGGAGCAUCCUCUCUGCUCCAUCCCAAGAGGCUGCUGUGGUCUGGAUCUCAUCUCGUCUUCUAGUAACAUCUUCCAGAUUUGUUUUAAACUGAUUAGACGCUGCUGAAGAAUCAGCUCUCUCCCCCGGACAGUACAAAGCAGAGUGCUGGCAGAGCUGGCUCUUGGCCAUCAUCUACAUGGUGACGCAGCAUCACAUCACUUGACAGCCCCAAUUUCAUUUGGGGAGCUCUGAAACGUUCACAUGCACUGAAAAAAAUUAUAAUAAUACACAAGGUGACAGGAGGGUGCAAUUAAAACAGAAGCGCCAGCUUGACCAGAGAGUGGCUUUAAUUGGAGGUCUUCUGUACGCUGGAGCACAGACUCUAAAAGGUAUUUCUGCCUUUCUAAUGUGGCUGCAUUUCUGCCUCUGAAUUUUGAUUUUGAAAAACAGAAAAUGAUGCCUUUUUUAUUGGGCCAGUGAGAGAAAUUACAGGGAAUGAGCUGAGUGAAUUUAAAAUUCUCUCAGUAGGGUAUAAAGGCAGGGAAAUACUUGUCCCUCCAUAGCUCAGUAACUUCCAGUGCAGGUUAUACAUAGGAACACUCGUUCCCAGUGCCCACCUAAGCAUGGGGGUUCAUGUAAGUGAGGAUCACAUGUGUUGUCACCACCUCGAUUCUCUGCUGGAUGGAUCUCACCCUCACUUUAAACAUAAGGAAGAAAUUCAGAAGGUCACCACAUCAAAUACUAAUUCUGAAAUUCAUUUCUCCCUAAAGAUUAAUAUAAAGCCCCAAAUGAAAUACACUGAAAAUAAGCAAAGUUAGCUGCAGUAUUUGAGUCUUCCCAUCACAGUGUCCUAAGAGGUAUCCUGUGGUUUGACACAUAAUUAAUAUGUUUAUCUAUCUUUGCUUUCUUUCAUUCUUUGUUUUCAAUAACAGCCAUCACCAUAAUAGUCAAGUAUAAACAUUCCAUCCUGUUUCAUAAAGAGCCUACGGUCCAUUUUAUUGCAACACAGUUACUUUCCCAGAUCCCACGAGUGACAAGGCGUGAUGCUUGAAAAAAUUCUCUGAAAUUUUCUCACCGUUUUUGCUUGAAGUAAGUUGCAUUCUGUUUACAAACUUGGGAAAAUGGGCCUCUUUUGCCUACUUUUGAGUGUCAUGGGAACACAUACCGAGAUCUGAUCCAGUAGCACUGCGUGAUGCUGGGAGCUUCUCAGGGUCCCGUAGUUUGCCCCCGAGGGUGUUUCAGGAUGCGGUGUAAAGUUGCAUGCUGUUUGCCAUGUCCAGGGUCCCAGACACAUGGGGAAUCAGACUGGCUCCAAUAUUGAAAGCUGAUCAUUUUUCAGACAAACAUAGAUAUGACUUUUGUUAUUUAUUCACGCUGAAAUGUUAAUAUGUCCUCAUUACUCUAAAUUAUUUCAUUUUCAACUUACAGUAUGUUCAUGGAUUAUUUGAAGGAAUUACUGGCUUUAGCUUAUGUUAUCUGUGACUCACUUUUAAUAGACUUGACUGGCCAGGUAAUUUCCACAGUAUUGUUUUUGGCUCCUUAACUGGAUCCCAUCCAAGUUUACAAAGCGCUUCCACAGAGAUAAUGGAGAACAUUCCAGCCUCCUGUGAAAUGUCAGCUCUGUGUCCAGUGUUAGACGUGCAGCAUUAACCUGGUUAAAGCUGCUGGAUUCUGUAAUUUCUUUCUUGGAAGUACCAAACAUCCUAAAGACACCAAGUCAAAUCUGCCAAAAGCAGGAGAGAAAAAGAAAAUGGGAGACUCAGAGUGAGAGUGAAAAGUAAAUGCAAUGCUAUUACUUUACACCAAAGAACUGUAAGUUAAUUGAUGUCCAUAAUAAACUUUCAGUAGAAAAGUAUUAAAUAUUUUUGAAGACGUCUGUAAAUCCAGUAUUGGAAAAAAAAAAGUUACUGUUAUCUGGGUUUAAUCAGCUGAGAAAAGCAUGAUGAUAAAUAAGAUUUAGUGGAAGCAUAAAUUGAAAAUGGCGAAUAAUACUUUUAAAAGGGAGCCUACUGGAAUACGUAUGUCUCUAUGUCUCUGAGGUAUUUGAUUUGGAAUAUAUAAUCAUCUCCUUUGAGGAUAUUUAUGAAAGUUAUUUCUGAAUGUUCAGAGAUUUCUCUGCUUUUCAUUAUCUAUUUUUCUUAACAAGGGCCAGAACUGUAUGCCUGAUUUUCUGUGAUAUAUUCACUUGGGAGGUUUUCUCGUACUGGCCAAGGACACAUCGUUUACAAGAAGGUCCUGUCAAGCAUCCAAAUGUCUCUGCUGAAGCUUCCAUUUUAGAUGACCCCACAGAAUGUGAGAAAACCUUCUUUUAGGGGAAUGGCAUCUUCUGGCCAGAGCUGUGUCCUGAAAGGCUGCCGUGCUUAACGCACAGUUGAAAUGCCCAAUGCAAAUUAAUGGUAGAGGUAGGGAUGAUGUACCUGUGUUUUCUCAAGAAAGAAAACUCAAACCCUUGGGAUGAUAUUUUCUGCAUGCAUGAUUACCUUCAUUGCAAUUUGGAUUUCUGAGAAGGUCAGUUGGACUUUUGGGCCCUGUGUUCUGGAGAAAUCUGAAGAAUUUGGGUCAUCUUCCUCUCUUGACUUAAAAAUAACUUCUGUUAAUGCAAUUUGGAAAGCAUAUUUCUUUGAAUAUGAUCUUCCAUUUGCAGAGGGGGCAAAGUUUACAAUUUUGGGUGGAAACCAUGUGAAAGCUAGCAGUUCCAUCAGGGGUUUGUUUGGAAAUUUUUGGAUUUGUUCAAACUCAAAAGUCAAAGUGAAACUCGGGGGAUGUGAACCCGCUUGAAUCAAAACCAAAACAGUGAUGCGCCAGAUCUCCCAUGAACCAAAACCACCGGGUUCUCACAGUUCUCAUCCAAACAAAAAUGCACUAACAUAAAUCAAAUACCGAACCAAAUAUCCUCUUUUGCUCCAUCUGGCUUUCAUGGAAAUAACUCAGAAUAUUUAAAAGGUCUGCUCAGUUUUGCAGCAGCAACCACCAAAAUAUCCUGAGAUCAUUUGAUAUCUGGCAGUUAAUAUCCUGAUCUAUUCUCUUUAGUCAGUAUUCCAAUCCUUUUCUACCAACACUGCCUUGGAGUGCACAGCGUAACUAUCCCUUAACAUCUUCCUCGAUUGUACGGUUUCACAGGGAAGACUCUGUGAACAAUUCACUGUCCUUCUCCUUCUCAUUCUUGCUCAGAGAGCCAAGAAAGGAGUUGGAGCUGCAAGCAGAAAAAACCAAGCAGUACGAUCAGUACGGAAGCAGAACACUUAGCUGCUAUAGGACAAGCUGGGGCACUGAGAAAAUAUUUAAUGAUAAUUUUCCUUGUGAUUUCCCUUGUUUGAGACCAUACUAUGACCCUGAAAUGAGAGAAUUAAAAAAAAAAAAGAUGUUUUGCAGCAUAUCAUGUAGCAAAACGUCUCUAAAGCCAUUAAAAAAAGUGCUGGGCAUGGAAGAACAGAAAAGGUUUCCUCUGUAACUAAGACACGCUUGUUUGUAAUAACAUGUGCUUUCAAACACUGCCAAGUUGCUGAGGAUAUCUCUGUUAUAUACAAUCCUGAAAAAUGUAAGUGUUAAAAAAAACAAGGUAAUGUAAAAAAAGAAAAAAAAUCUAAAAAAAAGAAGAGUUUGAUCAGAUGGUUAAAAUCCAGUCAAACCUAAGACAACCUGUUUAUGACCUUUCCAUGCUAAAAGCUAGAAAUGUCUUUCUUUCUUUCUUUUUUUUUUUUUUUUCCACAAGAUUAAUUACCAUCACUUUGGGAGUAGUGAGCUGGACAUUAUUAUAUGAUGUCAAUUAAUGAUUAAAAAAAAGGUGGUUUGCAAAUGUAGCACCACAGUCCCUGGUGCAUUACAUCAUUUCUGAAAGAUCUUAACACGUGAUAAGCAGAGAACAUUUUAACCUAAAAGUCUGAGUGUUACAACCUCCUUUUCUGUUGUAACACCCUACCCACAACCUUUUGGCCUUGAAGUCACUCGCAAUAAAAUUAAGAAGUCAAAAAGAAAAGGGGGGAAAAAAACCUCUGGGAAAGACAAGACACACUUCUGUUUUGCUGUCGAGCAGAUAAUGCAACAAAAUGAGUGGCUAUACGCAUUGGGAAACGUGGUUGCUGAUCUUUGUGCAGUGUUCUCAGCAAGAUUCGUCAUCAAAAUCUCAUGCUUAGAGUCGUAAGGUUGCUGUGAUUCAGGUAUUAUAAACUACAUAAUGCAGUUAUCUCUGUGAGAGUGCCUCGAAAAUUUCAUGCGCUGACUGAAAUGACUCCUGCACUUGUCUAUGCGCUGCUUUCCCAGAUGGGCUGACAGUGAUCAUUUUAUGUGCCUUAUUGAAUUCGCUGAAAUAUUUAGAAGGGUUUCUACCUAUAUUUUACAUCUCCUUCUGUUAUUACCUUUUUUGCAGCAACAGUUUGACUUCUUCGUCAAUAAUACACAUAACCUGAUCCAUUCUUCUCUGAGCUCUUCUCCUCUUUUAGCGUCAAAAUGCUGUGGAUGUUCCUUUGUAAACGAUAUGCAUUUAAAAUACCUUUGUAAUAAUAAAUACCACACGAACAUAUGUAUCAAGGAAAGGAUUUCAAUUUUGAUGACACUUGCUUCUCAAGAACAGACAUUCUGGAAGGAAAAAACAUUGCCAGCCCCAAAUUGAUUGACAUUUGUUUACUUAACUCUCUCUUCUUGAAAGUCUGCACACCUAUUUCAACCUUGAACAGUUUCCAACUGUGGUAUACUGGAACAUUUUUUCAUUUAUUAAGUUCAGUGUUGCCAACCCAAACAAAGAGUAAUCAGUGAUGAUCCAAGCAGACCAAGCUGUCUAGCACCAUACAAUGUAUCUGCAUGCUAAUUUUCAAAUUCCCUCACAUUUCCAGAGAACUAAUGGGAUCAUUUUCAUUCUGUUACAGCAACUCAACAGUUACUGAAUCACCAUCUGUGUUUUCGUUAACCUGAAUCAGAUAUGAAUUCUGUUAUUGCAAGGUAGAGCAGCUUGUUUAAUGAUUCUUAAUCUUUUCUUUAAUUAAAUCAUGCAGCCAACCUGAAAAAUCUAUCUUAAUGCAAAUUAGGAGCUUUUUUGGCAUUCACUUACAGUAAUGCACUAAUAAGGUUAAUUUAUGAAGGUUCUCUUCCAGUCUGUACAGAUGAUAUUUGUUCGCUGCAUAUUUUUAGCAUAUUGUCCCCUUUUCUAAUAUUUAAAAAAAUAUCGCUAAUAAAAAAGGGGUUGUUUUCACUCAUACAAAAGAGGAAGGCUGCGAGCUGCUUUUUGUUUAUUUGAAAGAACACAGAAAAGGAAGAUGGGUUUCUCCCCUCCGUGAGCAUCUCUCCACGCGGGUGCAGAGGCACAAAUCGAGGACUGCUGGGUUAAAUGGUUUUGGAUGAGCACUCUCCACUUCUCGCUGGAGAAAUUCAGGCCCUGGUUCAGAUGAGCAUCUUGAAGUUAUCAGUGGAGACAGAGAGUUUCUCUGAACCCUUUGUUUUAUUUUUUUUCCUUGUAGGUGUGAAUUAAUUGUAUAAAGAGUAAAUAAUUCUUGUGAAAUAAGCCCGAAUACUUUCCUCAGUUGCACAAUUGCUUCAGCUCGGGGCUCUGAUGAUCUCAGUCAAGAAAAUUUCUGUCUUUGAACGCAUUCCUCCCAACUACAGAAUUAGUUGAAAUCUGUUCAAGUUGCUGAGUAAAGAGUAAACUUUGUUGUUUUCUUUUUAAGGUUAUUUUUCAACACCCACAAGCAAAUGGGGACAGCGACUGCAAAUUUCAACACGCGGCCGUUGCUAUUUAAUUAAAAUCACUGAGGCUGGCUGAAGACUUUUCAGCAGAGUGAUUUCACAUCAGAGAACACCGGUUCUCAAAAUCUGAACAUUCUUUUCAUAGAAAUCCAUCCCUCCAUUUCAACCAGGAAUGAGAUUUCAGUUCUAGGAAAGGACUUCUCAUCCCAGCUAGGAACGGCAAACCAUCACUCCCCUUUUGCGGCGGGGCUGCCCAACCGUGGCAGCCAGAGCAUCUCUUUCCACCCCUCUCUGUAUUUCCAGCUGUAAUCGUUCCAUGUCUGUCUGCAUUAACUAUUUGCACAGCUCAGGACAGGAGCUCUUGUCCGAGGAGUGGGGAAUCACCAAGGCUGUGAUUCUCUCUGUUUCAUUAAAGGAACUCCAGGAACCGGAAACUGAACUUCAGAAUCAUGAAGAGCACUGCUAGAUGAAGACAUGGGCUGGAUACAUGUCUACCACACUAGAAGAAACUGAAAGAAUACGAUCCCAUUUGACUCCAAAAGUCUUUCUAGGCUAAUUACCAGCUCACAGAGCAGAGAAAUUAAGGCAGAGAGGGAAUGUUCAUGAUGACAACCUUUACCCAUUAGCAAGCUUUGCAUUUUCCCAAGGCUGAAGACAGUUUAGCCCUGACAAAUCCAAUCAGUGAUAUGCAGGCGUAACCUCCAGAAAUAAGCUCACAUUUUUGGGAUCCACGGGGCAAAAGAUGGACUGCAGUUUCCAGAUGAACGUUGAGUAGCAGCGAAAGGAAAAGGGAAGAAUGAUGAAGUGAGAAGAAGUUGGUCACAGGAGCUCGAUUACGGUGUUAGGAGGAGGUAGGUGAGUAAUGGCAGUGUGCAGAAGUGCCAAAAGCAGCAGGAUGGGGACCAAAGCAAAUGUGUAACGUGAUAUAAGUAAUGCAAUAUUGCAAUGCAAACAUGAAGAAAGGAUGGAAGAAUGUGCAGGUGAACUUGUGGGAAGACUGGGUACUAGCUAAUAAAAAGAGGGGUCAGCAAUUAUAACAUUGCAACAAAUGGGAUGCAGUGGGAAAGAUUAUUUUGGAUGUUGGUUUGCAGCUGUUCCCAAAACAUCCUGGGAGCAUAUAAUAUCAGCAUUCUUGUAGCUAGAAGUUAGCUUGCUGUUUUCAUGUGUCACCAUACUGCUUGUUUUGAUGGGCACCUAUCAUGUCUAAAAACUGCCCCAACCAUGGCUUAGCCACCAAGAGCUAGCUGCUCUUCUAGAGCUUGGCAGCACUAUGGAUGGGCUCAGGCCUCUGCUAAGGGCAUCACCUGGCACCCUCGGGAUGUUGCAGCUCGGCUACAAGGGAUUAGGCCAGUUUUGAAUGUGUAAUGGCAGGACAGAGCAUAAGUGAGGACAGAGAAGGGGAUGUUCUCCACAGGAGAACUGAAAAGCUGGGAACAUCCAUCACUGCAUGAUGAGGGCUGCCGGUGGUGAGCACUUGUCUUCCAUGUGUCCCCUUGUCCCCAUACCUGCAAGCCGCAUCUGCCCUGUGCUGCAGGACCCCAAGGACAGAUUAGGGUGGCAGAGGAGCAGGCUCUGCAGUACCCAGCCUCCUGUCCUGGGCCAGCUGCAGCCUGUCCAUGCUCCAGCCUGUGAUGCUGUCCCUCUUUUGAGGACACUUUCCUGAACAUCUUUUAAGCUAUGAAUCUACCCUUUGGGGAA
rnacentral:lncRNA from 1 species